AUGCUCACUUCAGCAGCACAUAUACUAAAGUUGGAACGUUACAGAGAAGAUUAGCAUGGCCCCUGUGCAAGGAUGACAUGCAAAUUAGUGAAGUGUUGCAUAUUAAA